rnacentral:lncRNA from 1 species
CUUUAAAUCAGGUUGAUGUUUAAAACCUAAAACUCGACCCAAAGAACAAUUUUGCUUGGGUUUGGUUUAAUUGAUAACGCAAUCAUGUUAGAAAAGAUGAAAUGGUUACUGUAAUUAUCAUAUUAUAAUAUUUUAAGACAUGCAAGAUCUCUUGCUUGACUUCGAUGUUUCUAGUGUUAGCUAACAGUUUGUGUAUUUACUCCAUAUCGAUCACUUCUUAGAUACAUUGGCCGUAGAAAAGAAAAUGUUUAGGUGGUCAAAGAAAUCUUGUAUGACCAAUAUUGUACCUUGGCCGAAACCUAGAUCUCCUGACAGAUCAAGUCCAAUGGUUGUAGAGUCGUGAAACGUGGGCUCAUCACCGGCAGACGUCCUACUGUAUGAUUUAAAGUGAAAGUUAAAGUUAAAUUCUUUGUACCGCCUGC